AUUGAACGCUGGCGGCAGGCUUAACACAUGCAAGUCGAGCGGAGAUGAGGUGCUUGCACCUUAUCUUAGCGGCGGACGGGUGAGUAAUGCUUAGGAAUCUGCCUAUUAGUGGGGGACAACAUUCCGAAAGGAAUGCUAAUACCGCAUACGCCCUACGGGGGAAAGCAGGGGAUCUUCGGACCUUGCGCUAAUAGAUGAGCCUACGUCGGAUUAGCUAGUUGGUGGGUAAAGGCCUACCAAGGCGACGAUCUGUAGCGGGUCUGAGAGGAUGACCCGCCACACUGGGACCGGGACACGGCCCAGACUCCUACGGGAGGCAGCAGUGGGGAGUAUUGGACAAUGGGCGGAAGCCUGAUCCAGCCAUGCCGCGUGUGUGAAGAAGGCCUUUUGGUUGUAAAGCACUUCAAGCGAGGAGGAGGCUACCUGGAUUAAUACUCUAGGAUAGUGGACGUUACUCGCAGAAUAAGCACCGGCUAACUCUGUGCCAGCCGCCGCCGUAGCAC
rnacentral:rRNA from 1 species